rnacentral:lncRNA from 13 species
CUUUUAAGCACAUUUUACUCCUAAACUUACAUUUAAACUUGCCAUAACAAAGGGGUUAAAUAGUUUUUGACUCAAGACAUUUCCGAUUUUCAUUUUUAAUUAAUUUGUACACAUUUCUUAAAACAUAAUUCCACAUUAUUUGGGUAUUUUGUGUAGGCCAGUUACACGAAAUCCAAUUUAAUAUAUUUUAAAUUCAGGCUGUACCCACAAAAUGUGGAAACAGUCAAGGGGUGUGAAUACUUUCGGAAGGCACCGUAAACACACACACACACACACACACACUACAGUACCCCCACCCACCCUAAAGAGAAAUUGAAAGAGAGAAAUUGAUAGAGAGAGAGAGAGAUAUUCUUCGAUAUUCCCUGUGCAUCUGGGAAGGACUGUUAACGGGGGAGUGGUUUACUUUUUCACUUCGCUUCAAGCACAGCGCAUGAUUCCGUCCGCGCUUGAGACAUUUGGAGGCAUCGCUUUCAUGAGAUUUAAUCUCUUUUUACAACAAGGAUAUAUCACAGUAGCGAGGAUGGAAUUGAGAAAGUUGUCACGGUUAUAUUUCUUCAUUGUCUGUGUUUUGAACACCUCCAGCUCUGCAUCCGCUGCCAAUCACCAUAUCUGCAAUGGCCCAUUGGUAUCCAUGCUGCCCCGGGGCUCUUUUGUGAGCUCCUCUCAGUCCUCUGUCAGUUAUGCUCCACACUUCUCCAAGAUCAACAGAAGAGAUGGUGAGUUACAAUGGAAAGUUAUAUUUUUUAAUUUCAUGUAAUAGUCUGAACCCUGAAUGCGCUAUCCUUCAAACAUAUUAGGACUUUGUUCAGUAACUAGUUACGAACAAAACAAAUACUUCCGUGUUAAUAUUGAGGAAUAGAAAUGCUCUCUCUUGUAUACAAACCUAAAAAUAUUGAAUCAAUAAUGCACUUUGUGAAAUAAGCACCAGAGGUAGAUAGAUCUAUGUACCCUGAAAAAAAAAUAUAUGGAUAAGAUAACUACAACAUUUAAAAAUAAAUAAAUAAAUAAAUAAAUCAAAUAAAAAGUGUUACUGAUUUCAGAGCCGCCGGGUAGUUUUGUUGGCUGUAAUACUAGGAGAUCAUAUUCAAAAGAUCUUCAUCCAGGAUUAGUUAACUAUAAUGUUAUUAUUGAAUUAAGAUGGAGAUAAACUAUCUCCACCUCAUGGGCAUCUUAAAAAGAGAGGUUUUCAGAUAAAUCCGUGAUGCUGUCCUGUUUGCACGUCAGCACCGUUUAGACAAUUUAAAAAAUGUUGCUCUUAGCCCUAACAACAAGGGUCA